rnacentral:rRNA from 1 species
CUAUAAUGCAGUCGUACGCUUCUUUUUCCACCGGAGCUUGCUCCACCGGAAAAAGAAGAGUGGCGAACGGGUGAGUAACACGUGGGUAACCUGCCCAUCAGAAGGGGAUAACACUUGGAAACAGGUGCUAAUACCGUAUAACAAUCGAAACCGCAUGGUUUUGAUUUGAAAGGCGCUUUCGGGUGUCGCUGAUGGAUGGACCCGCGGUGCAUUAGCUAGUUGGUGAGGUAACGGCUCACCAAGGCCACGAUGCAUAGCCGACCUGAGAGGGUGAUCGGCCACAUUGGGACUGAGACACGGCCCAAACUCCUACGGGAGGCAGCAGUAGGGAAUCUUCGGCAAUGGACGAAAGUCUGACCGAGCAACGCCGCGUGAGUGAAGAAGGUUUUCGGAUCGUAAAACUCUGUUGUUAGAGAAGAACAAGGAUGAGAGUAACUGUUCAUCCCUUGACGGUAUCUAACCAGAAAGCCACGGCUAACUACGUGCCAGCAGCCGCGGUAAUACGUAGGUGGCAAGCGUUGUCCGGAUUUAUUGGGCGUAAAGCGAGCGCAGGCGGUUUCUUAAGUCUGAUGUGAAAGCCCCCGGCUCAACCGGGGAGGGUCAUUGGAAACUGGGAGACUUGAGUGCAGAAGAGGAGAGUGGAAUUCCAUGUGUAGCGGUGAAAUGCGUAGAUAUAUGGAGGAACACCAGUGGCGAAGGCGGCUCUCUGGUCUGUAACUGACGCUGAGGCUCGAAAGCGUGGGGGAGCAAACAGGAUUAGAUACCCUGGUAGUCCACGCCGUAAACGAUGAGUGCUAAGUGUUGGAGGUUUUCCGCCCUUCAGUGCUGCAGCUAAACGCAUUAAGCACUCCGCCUGGGGGAGUACGACCGCGAGGGUUGAAACUCAAAGGAAUUGACGGGGGGCCCGCACAAGCGGUGGGAGCAUGUUGGUUUAUUUCUAAGCACGCGAAGAACCUUACCAGGUCUUGACAUCCUUUUGACCAUUCUAGAGAUAGAGCUUCCCCCUCCGGGGGCAAAAUGACAGGGGUGGCAUGGU